UACGUAGGGGGCAAGCGUUGUCCGGAAUUAUUGGGCGUAAAGCGCGCGUAGGCGGCUCGGCAAGUCCGCUGUGAAAGCCCGGGGCUCAACCCCGGGAGGCGGGUGGAUACUGCUGAGCUUGAGUUCGGAAGAGGCGAGUGGAAUUCCCGGUGUAGCGGUGAAAUGCGCAGAUAUCGGGAGGAACACCAAUGGCGAAGGCAGCUCGCUGGGACGUGACUGACGCUGAGGCGCGAAAGCGUGGGGAGCAAACAGG
rnacentral:rRNA from 1 species